rnacentral:rRNA from 1 species
AUACGGAGGGUGCAAGCGUUACUCGGAAUCACUGGGCGUAAAGCGCGCGCAGGCGGCUAUUUAAGUUGGAUGUGAAAGCCUACGGCUCAACCGUAGAACUGCAUCCAAAACUAUUUAGCUAGAGUGUGGGAGAGGAAGAUGGAAUUAGUUGUGUAGGGGUAAAAUCCGUAGAGAUAACUAGGAAUGCCAAAAGCGAAGGCAAUCUUCUGGAACACUACUGACGCUGAGGCGCGAAAGCGUGGGGAGCAAACGGGAUUAGAAACCCCAGUAGUCC